rnacentral:tRNA from 1 species
CAGGGUAGAGCUCAGUGGCACAGUGCCUGCCUGGCAAGCAGGCGGUCCUGGGUUCAGUUCCCAGUAGCCUCC